UCUAAACAGUUCUAUCUUUUCUAGUCUCAUCUAUUGGACUAACAUUUCUAUUUUCUAUAUCAAAUCUUUCUGUCUUUAUUAUUUUAAUUGUCUGUCUUAUCUGUCUUUGUCAGUCUGUCUGUCUGUCUUUCUGAUACACAAUGCCAGGGGGCUCUACCAACAAAAUAUGUCCAUUUUGUCAGGGCAUUUUAUUUUGUGCCCAAAAAAUCUGUUUGCAUUGUAAAAAGGAGCAGCCAGUGAAGCAAAGGCUGAAGAAAAAGCUUCGGCGGUUCGAUGAGAAGCGGGAGGAGUGGGUGGUCGGUUGAAUGAGAACCACAACAAUGCAUCCAUUAAGGAUAAAGGAAUUGUUAUGCUUGAGAAACUCCAUGCCAUUGGGUACGAGCCUGUGUUGCUUCUCGGCAAGGAGACAAAGACCAAUGAGCAGAAAUGUGAAAUACUGACCCCUUGGUGCACUCUUUCCACUUUUGCCCAAGAGUACCUUCAAAAGAUUGGCUCAAUUAAUGAAUACCUUUGUGAAGGGGCGAGCGGGUCUGGAUCAUCAUCAGUCAAUGAAAGCUCACCCUCUGAUGCCGCGGUGGACGUCUGGUCUCCGGUGUCAUCGAGCGUAAGGGCUACCAUCUGUUAGACGGAUCGCUUCCCCCGCCCGAAGUUUGGAUGGAGCGCUUGGAGAAGCGGGAGGUCAGCGGGCCCAUGGGCGACAGAUUACCUCUCGCUGAAACCCUCAGAUCUGCCCGAGUGCCCGCUGCAGAGCAGGGGACAAUUGGGA